UGCGUAGGCGGGGCAAUUAGUCAGUGGUGAAAUCCUGCGGCUUAACCGUAGAACUGCCAUUGAUACUGUUGUCCUUGAGUAUAGUUGAGGUGGGCGGAAUGUGUAAUGUAGCGGUGAAAUGCAUAGAGAUUACACAGAACACCAAUUGCGAAGGCCGCUCACUAAGCUAUAACUGACGCUGAGGCACGAAAGCGUGGGGAGCGAACAGGAUUAGAUACCCUGGUAGUCC
rnacentral:rRNA from 1 species